UUCUGUUGUACACAAUCUUCACACUAAACUAAAUUGUCAGUCUAAAUCUAGCACUAUCCUUUUCCGCAUGGAGCAUAAUGAAAGGGAUAGCAAUUCAUUUUGAACUGUCAUUUUAGU